rnacentral:rRNA from 1 species
AUUGAACGCUGGCGGCAGGCCUAACACAUGCAAGUCGAACGGUAACAGGAAGAAGCUUGCUUCUUUGCUGACGAGUGGCGGACGGGUGAGUAAUGUCUGGGAAACUGCCUGAUGGAGGGGGAUAACUACUGGAAACGGUAGCUAAUACCGCAUAACGUCGCAAGACCAAAGAGGGGGACCUUCGGGCCUCUUGCCAUCGGAUGUGCCCAGAUGGGAUUAGCUAGUAGGUGGGGUAACGGCUCACCUAGGCGACGAUCCCUAGCUGGUCUGAGAGGAUGACCAGCCACACUGGAACUGAGACACGGUCCAGACUCCUACGGGAGGCAGCAGUGGGGAAUAUUGCACAAUGGGCGCAAGCCUGAUGCAGCCAUGCCGCGUGUAUGAAGAAGGCCUUCGGGUUGUAAAGUACUUUCAGCGGGGAGGAAGGGAGUAAAGUUAAUACCUUUGCUCAUUGACGUUACCCGGAGAAGAAGCACCGGCUAACUCCGUG